CCCUUAGAUGUUCUGGGCCGCACGCGCGCUACACUGACGAAUGCAACGAGCUUAUAACCUUGGCCGAAAGGUCUGGGUAAUCUCCAAAUUUCGUCGUGAUGGGGAUAGAUUAUUGCAAUUAUUAAUCUUCAACGAGGAAUGCCUAGUAAGCGCAAGUCAUCAGCUUGCGUUGAUUACGUCCCUGCCCUUUGUACACACCGCCCGUCGCUCCUACCGAUUGAAUGGUCCGGUGAAGCGCUCGGACCGCGGCCUCUUGACGGUUUUCCGCCGAUUGGCUGUGGGAAGUUCGUUAAACCUUAUCAUUUAGAGGAAGGAGAANUCGUAACA
rnacentral:rRNA from 1 species